AUUCUACUCCCUCCGUUGCACAAUACAUGCCUUCUAUUUGUCAAAAUAUAUAUGUAUCUAGCCAUGUUUUAGUAUAUAGGUACAUCCAUUUUUGGACAAAUGGAAGUCAAGUAUUUUGGAACGGAGGGAGUACACA
rfam:Triticum aestivum genome assembly, contig: Triticum_aestivum_CS42_TGACv1_scaffold_327966_4BS